CUACUGUAUGAUGAUUUGUAUUUUCAGUUAUCCCUGUCAUAUUCAAAUAAUGAUGAGAUAUUUUAUUCUGAUCAGUAG